rnacentral:lncRNA from 12 species
CCCCCCCCCCCCCCCCCCCCCCCCCUCCUGUCAGGAACACAGCUCCAGUCCCCGUUCUCAUUCCCUGAGCAGUUCCAGGGGCUUUGGCACCGCAGGAAAUGGGAUUCUGUCUGUUCCUCAUUCCUGAGCAGAUCCAGGAGUUCCUGGCACUAAUGGAAAGGGGAUUCUGUCUGUUCCUCAUUCCCAAGCAGAUCCAGAGGCUCUGGCACCUCUGGAAAUGGGAUUUUGUCUGUUCCUCAUUCCCGAGCAGUUCCAGGGGCUUUGGCACUGCUGGAAAGGGGAUUUUAUUCCAGAUCCUGUCAGGACAGCAGGUUCUGGUCCAGUUCUUCAUCCCUGAGCAGAUCCAGAGGCUCUGGCACCUCUGGAAAUGGGGUUUUGUAACAGGUCCUGUCAGGAACACAGCUCCAGUCCCCGUUCUCAUUCCCAAGCAGUUCCAGGGGCUUUGGCACUGCUGGAAAGGGGAUUUUAUUCCAGAUCCUGUCAGGACAGCAGGUUCUGGUCCAGUUCUUCAUCCCUGAGCAGAUCCAGAGGCUCUGGCACCUCUGGAAAUGGGGUUUUAUUCCAGAUUCUGUCAGGACAGCAGCUCCUGUUCCCGUUCUUGUUCCCUGAGAAGAUCCAGAGGCUCCUGGCACCGUCGCAAUGGGGAUUUUCUCCAUUCCCACUCCCAAGCACAUCCCAAGGCUCUGGCACCUCUGGAAAUGGGAUUUUGUCUGUUCCUCAUUCCCGAGCAGUUCCAGGGGCUUUGGCACUGCUGGAAAGGGGAUUUUAUUCCAGAUCCUGUCAGGACAGCAGGUUCUGGUCCAGUUCUUCAUCCCUGAGCAGAUCCAGAGGCUCUGGCACCUCUGGAAAUGGGGUUUUGUAACAGGUCCUGUCAGGAACACAGCUCCAGUCCCCGUUCUCAUUCCCUGAGCCCCCCCCCCCCCCCCCCCCCCCCCCCCCCCCCCCCCCCCCCCCCC